rnacentral:rRNA from 1 species
UACAGAGGGUGCGAGCGUUAAUCGGAAUUACUGGGCGUAAAGCGUGCGUAGACGGCUAUCUAAGUCGGGCGUGAAAGCCCCGGGCUCAACCUGGGAAUUGCAUUCGAGACUGAAUAGCUAGGGUACGGUAGAGGGAAGUGGAAUUUCCGGUGUAGCGGUGAAAUGCGUAGAUAUCGGAAGGAACAUCAGUGGCGAAAGCGACUUCCUGGACCAGUACCGACGUUCAGGCACGAAAGCGUGGGGAGCAAACAGG